rnacentral:rRNA from 1 species
AGCGAACGCUGGCGGCAGGCCUAACACAUGCAAGUCGAGCGAACCUUUCGGGGUUAGUGGCGGACGGGUGAGUAACACGUGGGAACGUGCCUUUAGGUUCGGAAUAACUCAGGGAAACUUGUGCUAAUACCGAAUGUGCCCUUCGGGGGAAAGAUUUAUCGCCUUUAGAGCGGCCCGCGUCUGAUUAGCUAGUUGGUUGAGGUAAUGGCUCACCAAGGCGUCGAUCAGUAGCUGGUCUGAGAGGAUGAUCAGCCACAUUGGGACUGAGACACGGCCCAAACUCCUACGGGAGGCAGCAGUGGGGAAUCUUGCGCAAUGGGCGAAAGCCUGACGCAGCCAUGCCGCGUGAAUGAUGAAGGUCUUAGGAUUGUAAAAUUCUUUCACCGGGGACGAUAAUGACGGUACCCGGAGAAGAAGCCCCGGCUAACUUCGUG